UACAGAGGUCUCAAGCGUUGUUCGGAUUCAUUGGGCGUAAAGGGUGCGUAGGCGGCGCGGUAAGUCGGGUGUGAAAUCUCGGAGCUUAACUCCGAAACUGCAUUCGAUACUGCCGUGCUUGAGGACUUGGAGAGGAGACUGGAAUUUACGGUGUAGCGGUGAAAUGCGUAGAUAUCGUAAGGAAGACCAGUGGCGAAGGCGGGUCUCUGGACAGGUUCCUGACGCUGAGGCACGAAGGCCAGGGGAGCAAACGGGG
rnacentral:rRNA from 1 species